rnacentral:rRNA from 1 species
UACGAAGGGGGCUAGCGUUGCUCGGAAUCACUGGGCGUAAAGCGCACGUAGGCGGAUCGUUAAGUCGGAGGUGAAAUCCUGGAGCUCAACUCCAGAACUGCCUUCGAUACUGGCGAUCUUGGAGUCCGGGAGAGGUAAGUGGAACUCCGAGUGUAGAGGUGAAAUUCGUAGAUAUUCGGAAGAACACCAGUGGCGAAGGCGGCUCACUGGCCCGGUACUGACGCUGAGGUGCGAAAGCGUGGGGAGCAAACAGG